rnacentral:rRNA from 1 species
UACGUAGGCAGCAAGCGUUGUUCGGAGUUACUGGGCGUAAAGGGCGCGUAGGCGGUUCGUUAAGUCCUGUGUGAAAUCCCCCGGCUCAACUGGGGAACUGCACAGGAAACUAGCGGGCUUGAGUUCGGGAGAGGGAAGCGGAAUUCCGGGUGUAGCGGUGAAAUGCGUAGAUAUCCGGAGGAACACCGGUGGCGAAGGCGGCUUCCCGGACCGACACUGACGCUGAGGCGCGAAAGCUAGGGGAGCAAACGGG